UUUUGCUAACACUCCUGUUCAGGGUCUUGGUUCUUGCUGUUCUGGAUGCUUACGAUGCUUCCCCCAAAUCCUCCCAUCUGCUUCUCAGCAUACAUCUCUCCGCUCACAUGACACUCACUCAUCUGGGAAAGUCUUCCUCCUCUUGCACUUCCUGCCUAUUCCUCAUUUCAUCUCCUCUUUCUCUUGUCAUUUUUUAGACAGGGCCUGUCUCUGUAGUCUCAGUUGCUACUUAUGCUUUAGUCUCCCUAGUGCUGGGUCACAGGCAUAGGCCCACAUGCUUAGUUCUUAGCGAGGCCUCCUUGUAUCUUUGUGUGAACUAUAGUUUCUAUCUCAUAACUGCUUUCCUCUCUAUAACCAGACAUCAUCUAUUGGGAAAUUUAUGAACAACAGAAGUGCUCUCCUACUGUUCUGCAGGCUGAGAGGUCCAAGAUCAAGGUGUUGGGAUCUGGACGAGGUGAGCGCAACACAUUGUCAGCUUGAUAGGUUUGGAUCUUGCUGUUUACUGGGUUUAGAAUCACCUAGGACACACACCUGUAGGACUGUCUCUGAGGAGAUUCCAGAGGGGCUUAAGUGAGGAAGGAAGAUUUGUCCUGAAUAUGUGAGGAGCCACAGCUGAGACCUGCUUCUGCAGCCACACCUUCCUCACCACAAUGGACCAACAAUCUGUUCCGAAUAAGCCCUUUCUCUCUUAAGUUGCUUCUUGUCAGAUAUCUGGUCAAAGC
rnacentral:lncRNA from 1 species